AUGUUUCCACAAUACUGGGCUUGCCCUUUGAAGCCAUACCAGGAAGCAUGCAAGAGAAGCAUCUUUAGGAGUGCGUAUGUUCAGUUACCACCUUGUGUGAAGAUGUGGCCGAGAAGGCUGUUGAGGUGGCUGAGGAAAGAGAAGGGGACUGACAGGUGUGACCCUUGCAGUGCCAUGCAAAAGAUCCCUUCUGCUGUCUCCCACCCUUUGCAGCACUUUGGGACCAGCUUGUUUGGCCUUCUGGUUCAGAAGUUGUGUCGGCUACGUCUGUGCUCCAGACAAAACAGCACCAGGAACUGCUUUCUGCCACGAGGCCAUUUAGCACAGGUUGGAUAAUAAGUAUUUCUCUAAGCCAUGUGAAGGCUUCAGUCCAGGGAUUUUUCUCAGUGUAACGUACACUGCCAAAUUUAGGCUUCUCCUGCCAUCCAACAGCUUUCUCCCCCAGGUCCAUGUUAGUCUGAAGUACGUGCUCAAGAAGCAAGAUAACCAGUCCAAUUAUCUCCUCAUCUACAGGAAGCAUGCACAUUUCAAAUUAUCACACCAUGCCCUUUUAGGAGAAAGGGUAAGGAAUGGUUCUUGCCAUCCACUUCUUUCCUUUUGAAGCAGGGCAUUUUGCAGAAAAAGAGCCAGAGAAGGCAGACAGGACCCUUGUGCUGGGAGCUGGAGGUGCAUUUGGUCUCUGCUGUCUUUGUAUUUCAUGCUUGCAUGAAAAAAAAAAAAAAAAAAAAAGGUACUAGGAACAGAGACCAGGAGCCAGGAGUCUUCUCUCCAGGGCAGGUGUCCUUGCUGCCGGAUACCGCGAUUGUAGGAGUCACCUACAGAGCUCAGCCUCUGCUCCAUCUGGUCCAGGGACUAUCAGACAUGGAGAGCGGCUAAGGAGCCCUUUCAACGAAUGAGCAAGUCGUAUGUGGUGAACCCAGUAAAUCUGCAUGUGGCUCAGUGAAAAACCAGGCUCAGUCUGAGUGCUGAUCCCAAGCCACAGCCUGAAGACACUGUAGGACACACAGAUGGAAUCUGACACGUGCCUAUGCUCAGGCAGAAGGCUUAAGUGGAUGUAUGAGCAGCAAGAAUCACAACCAAAAAACACUAUGAGGAUUGACUGAAGUGGCAGUUGACAUACAUUUUCAUGCCUCAGCAAGUAUGGAACAAAAAGCAACAAUAGAAUCUGGGUAUACAGGGCAGGCACAAGGAGAUUGGCGAGGGGAGGGUGUACAUGGAGUAAAAGGCCAGCAGAGCUCUGAGGCAAUGGGCCAGGCACGGAGGUCUCCAGGGAAGCUUGUGCUGCACAAAGAGCUGGGCUGGCCUGGCUCUGAUCUUGCUGGUCCACAGCAGGCAC
rnacentral:lncRNA from 1 species